UACAGAGGGGGCAAGCGUUGUUCGGAAUUACUGGGCGUAAAGGGCGCGUAGGCGGCCUGCUAAGUCGAACGUGAAAUCCCUGGGCUCAACCCAGGAACUGCGUCCGAUACUGGUUGGCUUGAAUCCGGGAGAGGGAUGUGGAAUUCCAGGUGUAGCGGUGAAAUGCGUAGAUAUCGUAAGGAAGACCAGUGGCGAAGGCGAGUCUCUGGACAGCAACUGACGCUGAGGCACGAAGGCCAGGGGAGCAAACGGG
rnacentral:rRNA from 1 species